rnacentral:misc_RNA from 1 species
ACACUGGUGCACAGAUACAACAUCCCCAAGACGAAUCCGAAGGUUCGCCCGAACGACUUUGUUCAAUCUGACCUUAUGUUCUUCACAUUGCUCAUCCGCAAGGACAACACAAACAGUGUCCUUCCGUUUUUUACCCUUUAGCAAUACAGUAUCUCCUCUAAACAGCUGGAGCUCUUCCAUUUUAGCAGGGUGCAUAGAUACCACUGAAUUAUCAUCAUUUAUAGCCUCAUCAACAAUAAGGCGGUUAGGAGAUCUCUUCCUCUCCAAAAUUGCCGUAGCAAAAUCCUUUUUAUUGUUUUUCGAGUCGGAAGUGGAAGAUUUCGGGUCCGCCAUGAGAGAGUAGUAAUUUACAGAGGUUUAGAAAUGGGUGAAGAAAUUAAACAAAGUUGCACAAGGAAAAAGUUGGCAUGAGUAAUAUUGUAUACUUGUCGUUUCAA